rnacentral:lncRNA from 1 species
AUUUAAUUAGUGCAUGUAUGUAGAAAAUGUAAUCUGUGGUAAUUAUCUAUAAUUAUGUUUUCCUUGCAAUUUAAAAUAACUUCUCUUUUUCAGUAGGAUACAACCCUCUUUUUCACUUUUCACCACCUUCCAUAACAUUGAUUGCCUUUUUGUCAAGAGAGAAUGCACCACUUGAACUAGAAGAAAUAUCAAGGAGGUAGUAACUGGUUAGUUAUUCAGGGACAGAAAUACUUUAUAUGGAGGUCGAAUGGGUUGUUUAAACAAUGGCUAUCAAAUAAAACAACAAUGCAGAUAAUUAAGGAAAAUCUUGCCAACACUGAGAUCUAUUGUAUCAUUCAGAAGUCUGUUGUAGGAAAGUGGCAGAAUCUUUUGUUUCAUCUAUAACAUGAAUCUGGUGCUUCUGUUCAUGAAUCUGCUUUCUGACAGAGAUGACAGUGGAAAUGGAAUGAAGGCAUAGGAGAAGGAUUAAUUUGGACAGCUGAUUUUAUGUCCUUCCUGAAAAUGUGGCAUUCAGGGCCACGAAGAAAGAAACUUCAGUGUGAGAAAGCUGCUGUCUGAGAUUUCCAACAGAGAAUGCUUUCAGGAGCACUCCCAAGGAGCCACCUUCAGAGCAUCCCAGGACAGAAUAUCUCACAACCCGUUAUUGGAAGACAUUACCAAACUCUGUCAAAUUUGGAUGUCAGAUUAUGUUAUACAUUAUAAAUUACAGCAGCAGAUGUUCUUUUAAAAAGUUGUGGUUUCUUUAAAUGAUCUAGCUGAUGCAACUCCUUGAGUCACUGUGGUGAGAGACAAAAUUGAUGACAGGCUGAUUUAGUGGUGCACUUUUUAACCAACAGUUUGAAGAGAUUAGGAGGUUGUCAGAAAGAUAUCAAGAGAGGUAAAGGGAUUAAUUUGAAAAGUAGUUUUAAAUUAAAAAAAAUAAAGAGUUUCUUUGAAAACUCUUUUCUAUGUGA